rnacentral:lncRNA from 1 species
UGUCAUUUGCUAAAGUCGUUGGUGUCAUUUGCUACUCUAUUAUUAUUAUUAUAAAUAAAUAGAGUGACAUAUAAUUAAUUGUAUUGGUGUUGUUUGUAUAGUGUGUAGUGAAAAAAGAUCGAAUGGAGAGAAAAUACGAGAGUGAGAAAUUUGUUUCUUUGCCCCUCCUGUUGGGUGGAUCUGAUGAAACUGAUCAGACUGGAAAAACCUCUUUUAUCAAAACCACUUUUCACGGACUCAAUGCUCUAUCAGGUUCUUUUCUUCUCACUUUCCAAUUAUGCAUUAAUCUUAGCAUCUUCAUCCAAACUCCUCUCCCAUUUCCUUCUAAAUUUACUCUAUUCUUCACCAAAAAAACCCUCUCUCCACACCCAAUUUCAUAAAUAAUGCAAGAUUUGUAGUAUUUAAAACAAAUCAUAAAUAUUUGUGUUAUUAAAAAUUAUUGUUACUAAAUAUAUCAGUUUCUUCCUGUCUAAGUAAACUGGAAAUUGUUUCACGUAAAUGGGGAAUCAAUGUUUCAAAUUGAAUAGCUCUCUUGGAAAAUAAAACGGAAAAAGUUCAAAUAUAGCAUCUAGCUUUCAGUUUUGAGAAAAGAUUUAUUUAUGUCCCUCUUUAAAAAUUUGGGUUAUCGAUGUUAUUUUUGUUUGAAACAAAAUUCAUUCAUUUACAUCAUUAUUCAAAGUUCGAUUAAGUUUUUUUCCCUUUAUUCAAUAUUUUGAAAAAUCUACAGUUGUCUUCUUAUAAAAAAUCAAAUUAUUCUCUUUUUUUUUAAUCUUUUUAAGAUUUCGUCACUAUAUUGAAGAACAGUAACACUAAUUUAAAAUUAUUAUAUAAAGUUAUUAAAAUUUUGAACAAAAUUUUAUUAUUAUAAUUUGAUAUUAUAUUUUUCGUUAAAAAUUUACAUUAUUGAUAUUCUUACUUCAUAACCUUAACCUAUAAAUAUGACAAUCUUUCUUUGAAAUUAUAUAUAACAAAUCAUUAAAAAAAAAAUUGUGAUUCCUAUUUAAAAAACUAAACUUUAAAGAAAAAUAUAUAUAAUGAUAAUUUUCUUAAAAUUUGGCUUUACACUCUCAAUCCAUCUUAUUGAGUAUAUAUCCUGCUUGGACAACUCAUUGGACAUUCUUUGGCAAAAUACCAUCAUCCCAACUGGAUCACUCAUAGUCUGUCCCCUCCAGUGAUAAGUGGUCCAGUAUUAUCUUGUAAGAUGAUUAAUGUUGUGUGGCUGUCUCCAUUUAUGUAACGAUGUUUGAUUGAAUAUGAUGUUUAUAAAUUCUGUUAGUAAAUCACCUUGCAGACCAACUUAAUUGAUUGUUUUAGAUUCAAUUAAUUAUAAAUAAAAGGAAAAAAGUUUAAGUAUGCAAUCAAAUUUUGAGAAAAAAAAGUUCAUUUAUGUCGUUCAUUAAACGUUUGGCUUAUUUAUUUUAUUUUCGUUUAAGAAAAGAAAAAGUUCAUUCAAACUGAGUGGUAAAAAAGGGAUAAUGCUAAAUUGCUAGAAAAUUUGGCCAGAAAUUUAAAAAGUUCUAUAAUAUCUUUUUUAAUUUAAAAUAAACUGGUCUUUUUUUCAUUUUUUAAUUAAAAAAUAUUAAAGUUGAAAGGAUAAAAAUAUUUUAAAAAAUAAAAUAACAUAGAUAAAAUACCAUUCUGACCAAAAGAAUUUUUCCUUAAAAAAGUAUGCCGACUUUAUCUCAUUAAUGUCUUUUUACUGUUUAGAUCUUCCAUCUUUUCUUUUUGUAGAAGAGGUCAUCAUCUGUCUUUAUUGUUAUAUAACUAGAGCUGUCAUAAGACAUACAAAAAUUGAUAAAUCGAAUGAAUCUUUCUUUAGUGGUUUAUUAGUUUGAAUUAUUGAUUUAACGAUUUUUAAACAAUUAUCCAACAAAAACAUUUAACUAUCAAUUUAAUUUUCUAUUUUUAAAUUUUAGUUAAUGUUCAAAACGAUAAUUCAAUAAGAUAAUAUUGAAAAAAGAAUUAUUUAUUCCAAAUUAUAUUAUAAUAAUGGUUUGACAAAAGAGGUUGCCUAAAUGGUAAUCAGUCUCCACCCGCUAUUCUAUGGUUGAAGAGCAAAAAGGUAGGAGUUCUUCGAAUGAUUGAAAAUAAUAUUUCCUUUGUUUCAAUUUAUAUAGCAUAAAUUAAAUUUCGAGAGCAAAAUAACUUAAGUUUAAUCGUGAUUUUGAGCAUUAAAUCUUUAAAUUUUUUGAUUUUUUUUUAUUUGAUUUAAAAUUACGUAAAAUAGUACUCCCUCCGUUUCACAAAGAAUGACCUCCUUUCCUUUUUAGUCAGUUUAAAAAAGAAUGACCUCUUUCCUUUUUUGGUAACAUUUUACUUUUUGCUUUCCACGUGGCAUGUUUAAGACCACAAGAUUAAGGACAAUUUUGUACAUUUGACAUAACUUUAAUUUAGGACCACAAGAUUCAAAAGUCUUCUUUAUUUACUUAAACUCCGUGUCAAGUCAAAUCAGGUCAUUCUUUGUAAAACGGAGGGAGUACUAUAUAUCAUAAUAAAUGAUAAUUCAAAAUAUUUUAAAGAUGAAUGAAAAUAUUAUGAUCAAUGAAGACUGUUUGAAUUUUGAUAUCCUAAAGGUGCUAUAUAAAUUGAGACUUAAAAAAGUAAUAAUAACAAUAUUGGGUUCAGUACUCCACAGUUUUCCACCAUUGAAAACAUAUUGUAAAAUGUAAAUUCUAUAAAGCACCACCAUCUUGGUUUGGGGUUCUUUAUUCAGUCAAAUUUUAGAGUCAUUUUGGCUUCAAUGAUUUCUAUUUUUAUUUUCCUCUUCAUCAUCAAUUAAUACAAUUUCUUAGAUAUUUUAUUUAAUAUAAGAGAAAAUAGUUAAAUGUAAGUGUAUUUUACUCUUUUUUGAGAGAGCAAAAUCAAUAACAAACAUUAAAAUUUUAUUCAAUCAAUUUAAAAUCUAAGAUCCAAGACAAACAUAGACACAUUUCCUCAUCAAUAACCAUCUUGAAAUCUACCAUGUCAAUCGAUACACCAAAAUUUUAGAGAGCAAUUCUACAAUCAAGAACACUAUGAAUCCAAAAUCUUUCAAAUCAAUGCAAAUUUAAGCUUCAAUAAUCUUAAUAUAGUUACACUCAAUUGAUUUUCUUCAAUAACCCGCAAUAUUAUUUGUAAUUGCUUGCAAAUUUUGUUAACUAAUUUCUCUCAGGUUUGAAGCUCAAGGACCAUCAAACAAGUUUUACAAAUCUUAUUUCAAGUUUCAGACAACCAAUUUAGUAGAUAAAUUUAAUUUCAGCU